rnacentral:rRNA from 1 species
AGAACGAACGCUGGCGGCAGGCCUCAAACAUGCAAGUCUAGGGGGUGUAGCAAUACAUCACCGGCGGACGGGUGCGUAACACGUGGGAAUAUACCUUUUGGUUCGGAACAACGCAGGGAAACUUGCGCUAAUACCGAAUGUGCCCUUACGGGGAAAGAUUUAUCGCCAAAGGAUUAGCCCGCGUAGGAUUAGCUAGUUGGUGAGGUAAUAGCUCACCAAGGCUCCGAUCCUUAGCUGUUCUGAGAGGAAGAUCAGCCACACUGGGACUGAGACACGGCCCAGACUCCUACGGGAGGCAGCAGUUGGGAAUCUUGGACAAUGGGGAAACCCUGAUCCAGCCAUGCCGCGUGAGUGAUGAAGGCCUUCGGGUUGUAAAACUCUUUCGACGGGGACGAUAAUGACGGUACCGUAGAAGAAGCUCCGGCUAACUUCGCGCCAGCAGCCGC